rnacentral:rRNA from 1 species
GACGAACGCUGGCGGCGUGCUUAACACAUGCAAGUCGAACGGAAAGGCCCUGCUUUUGUGGGGUGCUCGAGUGGCGAACGGGUGAGUAACACGUGAGUAACCUGCCCUUGACUUUGGGAUAACUUCAGGAAACUGGGGCUAAUACCGGAUAGGAGCUCCUGCUGCAUGGUGGGGGUUGGAAAGUUUCGGCGGUUGGGGAUGGACUCGCGGCUUAUCAGCUUGUGGGUGGGGUAGUGGCUUACCAAGGCUUUGACGGGUAGCCGGCCUGAGAGGGUGACCGGCCACAUUGGGCCUGAGAUACGGCCCAGACUCCUACGGGAGGCAGCAGUGGGGAAUAUUGCACAGUGGGCGGAAGCCUGAUGCAGCAACGCCGCGUGCGGGAUGACGGCCUUCGGGUUGUAAACCGCUUUCGCCUGUGACGAAGCGUGAGUGACGGUAAUGGGUAAAGAAGCACCGGCUAACUACGUG